AGUGAACGCUGGCGGUAGGCCUAACACAUGCAAGUCGAACGGCAGCACAGGAGAGCUUGCUCUCUGGGUGGCGAGUGGCGGACGGGUGAGGAAUACAUCGGAAUCUGCCCAGUCGUGGGGGAUAACGUAGGGAAACUUACGCUAAUACCGCAUACGACCUUCGGGUGAAAGAGGGGGAUCGCAAGACCUCUCGCGAUUGGAUGAGCCGAUGUCGGAUUAGCUAGUUGGCGGGGUAAUGGCCCACCAAGGCGACGAUCCGUAGCUGGUCUGAGAGGAUGAUCAGCCACACUGGAACUGAGACACGGUCCAGACUCCUACGGGAGGCAGCAGUGGGGAAUAUUGGACAAUGGGCGCAAGCCUGAUCCAGCCAUACCGCGUGGGUGAAGAAGGCCUUCGGGUUGUAAAGCCCUUUUGUUGGGAAAGAAAUCGUUCAGGCUAAUACCCUGGGAGGAUGACGGUACCCAAAGAAUAAGCACCGGCUAACUUCGUG
rnacentral:rRNA from 1 species